UACGUAGGGUGCGAGCGUUAAUCGGAAUUACUGGGCGUAAAGCGUGCGCAGGCGGUUUUGUAAGCCAGAUGUGAAAUCCCCGGGCUUAACCUGGGAAUUGCACUGGAUACUGGCAGGCUAGAGUGCGGUAGAGGAUGGCGGAAUUCCCGGUGUAGCAGUGAAAUGCGUAGAGAUCGGGAGGAACAUCUGUGGCGAAGGCGGCCAUCUGGACCAGCACUGACACUGAGGCACGAAAGCGUGGGGAGCAAACAGG
rnacentral:rRNA from 1 species